rnacentral:rRNA from 1 species
GGGGGGUGCGAGCGUUGUCCGGAAUCACUGGGCGUAAAGGGCGCGUAGGUGGUUUGAUAAGGGUGUGGUGAAAGUCCGGGGCUCAACCCCGGAUCUGCCGUGCCGACUGUCAAACUCGAGGGCUGUAGAGGCAGACGGAAUUCCGGGUGUAGCGGUGGAAUGCGUAGAGAUCCGGAGGAAGACCGGUGGCGAAGGCGGUCUGCUGGGCAGUUUCUGACACUGAGGCGCGACAGCGUGGGGAGCAAACAGGAUUAGAUACCCUGGUAGUCCACGCCGUAAACGAUGGGUACUAGGUGCCUGGGGGAGCGACCCUCUKGGGUGCCGGCGCUAACGCMAGGAAGWCCCCCGCCCKGGGGAGKWMSRACCGCMAGGGUUG